CCUAAACUUACAAGCUGUGUGUAAUAUUACUGAUGAUGAUUAUAAGUACCUAAUUUGUUAACACACUUUAUUUUAAUGAGCAGCAUCUCAUUGAUAGGCAGCUGUAAAGCAAAAAUGUAUAAUUUGAUAAAACAAAGACAUGAAUACAACAAAAGAAAAAGGCAGUGUUGGAGAACAUGGAGUCACAACCAGUGAACAGGAGGUGCAUUACAUUGACUGGAUCAUUCCGUAGCUCAUCACUAUGGACAAUGUGAAUCUGGUGGCCAAAAACAAA